rnacentral:rRNA from 1 species
UACGUAGGGUGCGAGCGUUGCCCGGAUUUAUUGGGCGUAAAGGGCGCGUAGGCGGUCACGCACGUCCGUUGUGAAAUCGCUCGGCUCAACUGGGCGGGGUCAGCGGAUACGGCGUGGCUGGAGCAAGCUAGGGGGCAAUGGAAUUCCCGGUGUAGUGGUGGAAUGCGUAGAGAUCCGGAAGAACACCGGAGGCGAAGGCGGCUUGCUGGGCGUGAUCUGACGCUGAGGCGCGAAAGCGUGGGGAGCGAACAGG